rnacentral:rRNA from 1 species
AUGGUAACCGAAGAAUAUGAUAGUAGCUAUGAUGUUGACAUUGAUGAGUUAUUUAUUUCAAUGAGGACAGAUUUAAAUCGCCACAUGUCGCAGGCUGAGGAUCGUGCAAAUGGAAACAGGUGUUGCCUGAUAUGCAAAAUAGUGCAUCGCAUUCGCCUGACCGACCGUACCGCGUAUGAGCCGAGCGCUCUCGCAAUUGGUCCUUAUCACCAUGCAGAUCCACCACUUCAAGCUAUGGAAAUGGAGAAGUGGAUAUGUCUACACUACAUUCUUGAUUUGAAUCGCGAUGUUAGGUUGCGUGACUACCUGAGCUUGAUUUCUGGACUAGAGAAAGAAGCAAGAUGCUAUUACACCGAGGAGAUAAGCAUGGAUAGUAGAGAGUUCCUGCAGAUGCUUCUGCUAGAUAGCUGCUUUAUUCUGGUGUACCUUGGUCGUAUCAAUGCACAAGGAGCUUCUGUUGGUGGUGAACAAUUGAAAGAAAACAGAGCAUACGAAAGAAAGAAGGAACCAACGGAGUUGAGCCAGAUCAAUACAGCCUGCUGCCCAAGUGUUAGUGGGCACUCAGCGGUGGACAUAGAACUAAAUCAAUUUGUUAAAGAUCCUGAGGGUAGCCCUGACCAGGGGAUUUGCAGCGGUACUGUGGAAUGGUAUAACAGUUCUGCUGUCUAUGAUCUACUUUUGCUGGAGAACCAAAUUCCCUUCUUCAUUGUCAAGACAAUUUAUCUGUUCUUCUCAUGCAAUGUAACAACUACUUCGUUACUUACCGACAGCAUUUCAGAAUUCAUGGAAGGCAUUCUUUACCACUUCCCUAAAGUACUAACUGAGGCAAAUAGGCCAAAAGAUUUCUACCAUCUGCUUCACCUGUGUCAUAAGUACCUGAAACCUAGUCACAAUCUGGAGGAUGACCAUCAUAGAUAUGCUGCAAAUUUUCACUGCUUGCACUUCAUAUUUGACAUCAGCCGGAAGAUCUUCACUUUUGGACGGGUGCAAGGAAUGUCCCAUGACCAAAACAUGUUCCAUGAGCUAGAUUGGUCGAAUUCAGUACAGAAAUUUAAUCGGUGGCGUAGAGCAGUGGACUAUCAUGAAGCAGGAAUGCAGUUCAAAAAGCGGGAGUUUGACGAAGCCAAACCUCAUUCCCUGUUGGACAUUAGAUUCAGAAACGGUCUCAUGGAAAUACCAUGCUUGCCAAUAGAUGACAAGUCUUCUUUGCUUUUCAGAAACCUUGUAGCUUUUGAGCAAACCUGUCCUCAAGUUGGGGAUGAUAUCACUGCAUAUGUUGUGCUUCUGUCCCAGCUUACUAGUACGGCAGCUGAUGUUACUCUUCUUUCUCAGAAAGGGAUUAUAGUGCACCAGAUGGAAAGUGACGAGGAUGUAUCGACUCUUUUCACAAAGCUUUUUGAGUAUGUAGUAUUUAACUUCAAUGGUGAACACUACCUAAAGUCCCUAUGUUAUGCCAUGGAAGCACACUACCAAAGUCGUAUUAAUAGGUGGAUGGCAUGGCUGUGGCACAAUCACUUCAGCAAUCCCUGGGUAGGUUUUGCCGCGAUAGCUUCUGCUUUUAUAGUUGUAUGCAGCAUUAUGCAAACUGUUCUUGCUUUCUUGUCAUACAUGGAAUGA